rnacentral:rRNA from 1 species
GAAUGGGGGAACCCACUAUCUUUAGUCAGAUAGUAUCCUUACGUGAAUACAUAGCGUGAGGAAGGCAGACCCAGGGAACUGAAACAUCUUAGUACCCGGAGGAAGAGAAAGAAAAAUCGAUUUCCUUAGUAGCGGCGAGCGAAACGGGAAGAGCCCAAACCAACAAGCUUGCUUGUUGGGGUUGUAGGACACUCUAUACGGAGUUACAAAGGACGACAUUAGACGAAUCAUCUGGAAAGAUGAAUCAAAGAAGGUAAUAAUCCUGUAGUCGAAAAUGUUGUCUCUCUUGAGUGGAUCCUGAGUACGACGGAGCACGUGAAAUUCCGUCGGAAUCUGGGAGGACCAUCUCCUAAGGCUAAAUACUCUCUAGUGACCGAUAGUGAACCAGUACCGUGAGGGAAAGGUGAAAAGCACCCCGGAAGGGGAGUGAAAUAGAACCUGAAACCGUGUGCUUACAAGUAGUCAGAGCCCGUUAAUGGGUGAUGGCGUGCCUUUUGUAGAAUGAACCGGCGAGUUACGAUUUGAUGCAAGGUUAAGCAGUAAAUGUGGAGCCGUAGCGAAAGCGAGUCUGAAUAGGGCGUUUAGUAUUUGGUCGUAGACCCGAAACCAGGUGAUCUACCCUUGGUCAGGUUGAAGUUCAGGUAACACUGAAUGGAGGACCGAACCGACUUACGUUGAAAAGUGAGCGGAUGAACUGAGGGUAGCGGAGAAAUUCCAAUCGAACCUGGAGAUAGCUGGUUCUCUCCGAAAUAGCUUUAGGGCUAGCCUCAAGUGAUGAUUAUUGGAGGUAGAGCACUGUUUGGACGAGGGGCCCCUCUCGGGUUACCGAAUUCAGACAAACUCCGAAUGCCAAUUAAUUUAACUUGGGAGUCAGAACAUGGGUGAUAAGGUCCGUGUUCGAAAGGGAAACAGCCCAGACCACCAGCUAAGGUCCCAAAAUAUAUGUUAAGUGGAAAAGGAUGUGGCGUUGCCCAGACAACUAGGAUGUUGGCUUAGAAGCAGCCAUCAUUUAAAGAGUGCGUAAUAGCUCACUAGUCGAGUGACACUGCGCCGAAAAUGUACCGGGGCUAAACAUAUUACCGAAGCUGUGGAUUGUCCUUUGGACAAUGGUAGGAGAGCGUUCUAAGGGCGUUGAAGCAUGAUCGUAAGGACAUGUGGAGCGCUUAGAAGUGAGAAUGCCGGUGUGAGUAGCGAAAGACGGGUGAGAAUCCCGUCCACCGAUUGACUAAGGUUUCCAGAGGAAGGCUCGUCCGCUCUGGGUUAGUCGGGUCCUAAGCUGAGGCCGACAGGCGUAGGCGAUGGAUAACAGGUUGAUAUUCCUGUACCACCUAUAAUCGUUUUAAUCGAUGGGGGGACGCAGUAGGAUAGGCGAAGCGUGCGAUUGGAUUGCACGUCUAAGCAGUAAGGCUGAGUAUUAGGCAAAUCCGGUACUCGUUAAGGCUGAGCUGUGAUGGGGAGAAGACAUUGUGUCUUCGAGUCGUUGAUUUCACACUGCCGAGAAAAGCCUCUAGAUAGAAAAUAGGUGCCCGUACCGCAAACCGACACAGGUAGUCAAGAUGAGAAUUCUAAGGUGAGCGAGCGAACUCUCGUUAAGGAACUCGGCAAAAUGACCCCGUAACUUCGGGAGAAGGGGUGCUCUUUAGGGUUAACGCCCAGAAGAGCCGCAGUGAAUAGGCCCAAGCGACUGUUUAUCAAAAACACAGGUCUCUGCUAAACCGUAAGGUGAUGUAUAGGGGCUGACGCCUGCCCGGUGCUGGAAGGUUAAGAGGAGUGGUUAGCUUCUGCGAAGCUACGAAUCGAAGCCCCAGUAAACGGCGGCCGUAACUAUAACGGUCCUAAGGUAGCGAAAUUCCUUGUCGGGUAAGUUCCGACCCGCACGAAAGGCGUAACGAUUUGGGCACUGUCUCAACGAGAGACUCGGUGAAAUCAUAGUACCUGUGAAGAUGCAGGUUACCCGCGACAGGACGGAAAGACCCCGUGGAGCUUUACUGUAGCCUGAUAUUGAAAUUCGGCACAGCUUGUACAGGAUAGGUAGGAGCCUUUGAAACGUGAGCGCUAGCUUACGUGGAGGCGCUGGUGGGAUACUACCCUAGCUGUGUUGGCUUUCUAACCCGCACCACUUAUCGUGGUGGGAGACAGUGUCAGGCGGGCAGUUUGACUGGGGCGGUCGCCUCCUAAAAGGUAACGGAGGCGCUCAAAGGUUCCCUCAGAAUGGUUGGAAAUCAUUCAUAGAGUGUAAAGGCAUAAGGGAGCUUGACUGCGAGACCUACAAGUCGAGCAGGGUCGAAAGACGGACUUAGUGAUCCGGUGGUUCCGCAUGGAAGGGCCAUCGCUCAACGGAUAAAAGCUACCCCGGGGAUAACAGGCUUAUCUCCCCCAAGAGUUCACAUCGACGGGGAGGUUUGGCACCUCGAUGUCGGCUCAUCGCAUCCUGGGGCUGUAGUCGGUCCCAAGGGUUGGGCUGUUCGCCCAUUAAAGCGGUACGCGAGCUGGGUUCAGAACGUCGUGAGACAGUUCGGUCCCUAUCCGUCGUGGGCGUAGGAAAUUUGAGAGGAGCUGUCCUUAGUACGAGAGGACCGGGAUGGACAUACCUCUGGUGUACCAGUUGUCGUGCCAACGGCAUAGCUGGGUAGCUAUGUGUGGACGGGAUAAGUGCUGAAAGCAUCUAAGCAUGAAGCCCCCCUCAAGAUGAGAUUUCCCAACUUCGGUUAUAAGAUCCCUCAAAGAUGAUGAGGUUAAUAGGUUCGAGGUGGAAGCAUGGUGACAUGUGGAGCUGACGAAUACUAAUCGAUCGAAGACUUAAUCAA